rnacentral:rRNA from 1 species
CCCUUAGAUGUUCUGGGCCGCACGCGCGCUACACUGAUGCAGGCAGCAAGUGGAUUCAAUGGCUCUUUCUUCUUUUGGAGGGGAGCGUUGCAGCCUUGGCCGAGAGGCCUGGGUAAUCUUGGGGAAACUGCAUCGUGCUGGGGCUUGACGAUUGAAAUUAUUUGUCACAAACGAGGAAUUCCUAGUAAGCGCAAGUCAUCAGCUUGCAUUGAUUACGUCCCUGCCCUUUGUACACACCGCCCGUCGCUCCUACCGAUUGAAUGCUCCGAUGAACGCUCCGGAGGCGAGGCCGUGGAGCUGGUUCGCCAGCCGCGGCCUAUGGCAAAGUUGUGUAAAUCUUAGCAUUUAGAGGAAGGACAAGUCGUAACA